ensembl:miRNA
UUAGGUUGGUGCAAAAGGAAUUGUGGUUUUUGCCAUCACUUUAAAACCGCAAUUCCUUUUGCACCAACCUAAU